UCCUGAUGAGGAAACCAGGUCACGUCUUACUGUCCAUGCUGGUCCAGAACCUGCCAAGGUUGAACCCACUGGGCCGGUGGAGAGAGAGGAGGAAACUGUGUUCCAAAAGGAACUGUCUGAUGGGA
ensembl:snoRNA SNORD22 Small nucleolar RNA SNORD22